AUUGAACGCUGGCGGCAUGCUUUACACAUGCAAGUCGAACGGUAACAGGCCUUCGGGUGCUGACGAGUGGCGAACGGGUGAGUAAUGCAUCGGAACGUGCCCAAUCGUGGGGGAUAACGUAGCGAAAGUUACGCUAAUACCGCAUAAGCCCUGAGGGGGAAAGCAGGGGAUCGCAAGACCUUGCGCGAAUGGAGCGGCCGAUGUCAGAUUAGCUAGUUGGUGGGGUAAAGGCCUACCAAGGCGACGAUCUGUAGCGGGUCUGAGAGGAUGAUCCGCCACACUGGAACUGAGACACGGUCCAGACUCCUACGGGAGGCAGCAGUGGGGAAUUUUGGACAAUGGGGGCAGCCCUGAUCCAGCCAUGCCGCGUGAGUGAAGAAGGCCUCGGUUGUAA
rnacentral:rRNA from 1 species